AGCACUUGUGUGUGUUUUUGUUCAGCUGGUGGACAAAAGCAGGCUAGACAGGUGCAACAGUAAAUCCUCUUUUGCAACCCAGAACUCACUGUUCAGUAUGAGUUUUGAUACAUACAAGAAGGAAUAUA